rnacentral:rRNA from 1 species
GACGAACGCUGGCGGCGUGCCUAAUACAUGCAAGUUGAGCGCUGAAGGUUGGUACUUGUACCGACUGGAUGAGCAGCGAACGGGUGAGUAACGCGUGGGGAAUCUGCCUUUGAGCGGGGGACAACAUUUGGAAACGAAUGCUAAUACCGCAUAAAAACUUUAAACACAAGUUUUAAGUUUGAAAGAUGCAAUUGCAUCACUCAAAGAUGAUCCCGCGUUGUAUUAGCUAGUUGGUGAGGUAAAGGCUCACCAAGGCGAUGAUACAUAGCCGACCUGAGAGGGUGAUAGGCCACAUUGGGACUGAGACACGGCCCAAACUCCUACGGGAGGCAGCAGUAGGGAAUCUUCGGCAAGGGACGAAAGUCUGACCGAGCAACGCCGCGUGAGUGAAGAAGGUUUUCGGACCGUAAAACUCUGUUGGUAGAGAAGAACGUUGGUGAGAGUGGAAAGCUCAUCAAGUGACGGUAACUACCCAGAAAGGGACGGCUAACUACGUG